GCGGCCUAUCAGCUUGUUGGUGAGGUAAAGGCUCACCAAGGCGACGACGGGUAGCCGGCCUGAGAGGGCGACCGGCCACACUGGGACUGAGACACGGCCCAGACUCCUACGGGAGGCAGCAGUAGGGAAUAUUGGGCAAUGGACGCAAGUCUGACCCAGCGACGCCGCGUGCGGGAUGAAGGCCUUAGGGUUGUAAACCGCUUUCAGCAGGGAAGAAGCGAAAGUGACGGUACCUGCAAAAGAAGCACCGGCUAACUAUGUGCCAGCAGCCGCGGUAAUACAUAGGGUGCAAGCGUUGUCCGGAAUUAUUGGGCGUAAAGAGUUCGUAGGUGGUUCGUUACGUCGGAUGUGAAAAUCUGGGGCUCAACCCCAGACCUGCAUUCGAUACGGGCGAGCUAGAGUUUGGUAGGGGAGACUGGAAUUCCU
rnacentral:rRNA from 1 species